rnacentral:rRNA from 1 species
CGUAGGGUGCAAGCGUUAAUCGGGAAUUACUGGGCGUAAAGCGUGCGCAGGCGGUUGUGUAAGUCAGAUGUGAAAUCCCCGGGCUCAACCUGGGAAUUGCAUUUGAGACUGCACGGCUAGAGUGUGUCAGAGGGGGUAGAAUUCCACGUGUAGCAGUGAAAUGCGUAGAUAUGUGGAGGAAUACCGAUGGCGAAGGCAGCCCCUGGGAUAACAUUGACGCUCAAUGCACGAAAGCGUGGGAGCAAACAGGAUU